AGACCCGAAACCCGGUGAUCUAGCCAUGGGCAGGUUGAAGGUUGGGUAACACUAACUGGAGGACCGAACCGACUAAUGUUGAAAAAUUAGCGGAUGACCUGUGGCUGGGGGUGAAAGGCCAAUCAAACCGGGAGAUAGCUGGUUCUCCCCGAAAGCUAUUUAGGUAGCGCCUCGUGAAUUCAUCUCCGGGGGUAGAGCACUGUUUCGGCUAGGGGGCCAUCCCGGCUUACCAACCCGAUGCAAACUGCGAAUACCGGAGAAUGUUAUCACGGGAGACACACGGCGGGUGCUAACGUCCGUCGUGAAGAGGGAAACAACCCAGACCGCCAGCUAAGGUCCCAAAGUCAUGGUUAAGUGGGAAACGAUGUGGGAAGGCCCAGACAGCCAGGAUGUUGGCUUAGAAGCAGCCAUCAUUUAAAGAAAGCGUAAUAGCUCACUGGUCGAGUCGGCCUGCGCGGAAGAUGUAACGGGGCUAAACCAUGCACCGAAGCUGCGGCAGCGAACGUAUCACCCAAGACAACUUUACGGAGUUGACGAUUGACGGAGCGAAGCGACGUCAAAGCGUUCAUUAAAGUCGAGUUGGCUUAGGGAUACGUUCGUUGGGUAGGGGAGCGUUCUGUAAGCCUGUGAAGGUGUGUCGUGAGGCAUGCUGGAGGUAUCAGAAGUGCGAAUGCUGACAUAAGUAACGAUAAAGCGGGUGAAAAGCCCGCUCGCCGGAAGACCAAGGGUUCCUGUCCAACGUUAAUCGGGGCAGGGUGAGUCGACCCCUAAGGCGAGGCCGAAAGGCGUAGUCGAUGGGAAACGGGUUAAUAUUCCCGUACUUGGUGUUACUGCGAAGGGGGGACGGAGAAGGCUAUGUUGGCCGGGCGACGGUUGUCCCGGUUUAAGCGUGUAGGUGUGUGUUCCAGGUAAAUCCGGUUCACUUUAACACUGAG
rnacentral:rRNA from 3 species